AGAUACCAGCUGGCUGCAACUGUUUAUUAAAAACACAGCACUGUGCAAACACGAAAGUGGACGUAUACGGUGUGACGCCUGCCCGGUGCCGGAAGGUUAAUUGAUGGGGUUAUCCGUAAGGAGAAGCUCUUGAUCGAAGCCCCGGUAAACGGCGGCCGUAACUAUAACGGUCCUAAGGUAGCGAAAUUCCUUGUCGGGUAAGUUCCGACCUGCACGAAUGGCGUAAUGAUGGCCAGGCUGUCUCCACCCGAGACUCAGUGAAAUUGAACUCGCUGUGAAGAUGCAGUGUACCCGCGGCAAGACGGAAAGACCCCGUGAACCUUUACUAUAGCUUGACACUGAACACUGGUCCUUGAUGUGUAGGAUAGGUGGGAGGCUUUGAAGUGUGGACGCCAGUCUGCAUGGAGCCAUCCUUGAAAUACCACCCUUUAAUGGCUGGUGUUCUAACGUAGACCCGUAAUCCGGGUUGCGGACAGUGUCUGGUGGGUAGUUUGACUGGGGCGGUCUCCUCCUAAAGAGUAACGGAGGAGCACGAAGGUUAGCUAAUCCUGGUCGGACAUCAGGAGGUUAGUGCAAAGGCAUAAGCUAGCUUGACUGCGAGAGUGACGGCUCGAGCAGGUGCGAAAGCAGGUCUUAGUGAUCCGGUGGUUCUGAAUGGAAGGGCCAUCGCUCAACGGAUAAAAGGUACUCCGGGGAUAACAGGCUGAUACCGCCCAAGAGUUCAUAUCGACGGCGGUGUUUGGCACCUCGAUGUCGGCUCAUCACAUCCUGGGGCUGAAGUAGGUCCCAAGGGUAUGGCUGUUCGCCAUUUAAAGUGGUACGCGAGCUGGGUUUAGAACGUCGUGAGACAGUUCGGUCCCUAUCUGCCGUGGGCGCUGGAGAAUUGAGGGGGGCUGCUCCUAGUACGAGAGGACCGGAGUGGACGCAUCACUGGUGUUCGGGUUGUCAUGCCAAUGGCAUUGCCCGGUAGCUAAAUGCGGAAGAGAUAAGUGCUGAAAGCAUCUAAGCACGAAACUUGCCCCGAGAUGAGUUCUCCCUGACCCUUUAAGGGUCCUGAAGGAACGUUGAAGACGACGACGUUGAUAGGUCGGGUGUGUAAGUGUAGCGAUACAUUGAGCUAACCGAUACUAAUGAACCGUGAGGCUUAACCUUACAACGCCGAAG
rnacentral:rRNA from 1 species